GAUGCCAACCCAAUCCCUAAUCCAACUCCAACACCUAAAGCUGACAGCAACACGCUCUUCUGCUCCAUUUUUUCUCACCGAUAGAACAAAACCCUCGUUGCUAAACCACAAGAUCUAAGAGGGAUUCAACGUGCAUUCCAAGAUUGUAGGUGGACGAUGGAGAAGAAGAAAGAAGAUGGGUCUCUAUUUAUAGCGACGUUUGGGUUAGUCUUAUGGACGUUAACCCUUUCUUUCCCGGGAAAAAGCAAACUCAGAUGAAAACUUUCUGAUAAAUAAAUAAUAUUAUAUCCAAAAAAAAAUCCAGAAAAUUUACCUUUAAUUAUUUUUUUUGUCCAAAGAAAUUAGUUAAGUUUUCUGUCAGUGGAAAUAAAAUAUAAUAAUAUAAAGUAAGAAAAUAGUUUUUGAUCGGUAACCGGGUUUUCUUGUUUUUUCAUGUCUUUUUCUUGAACUCUAUUUUUUGAAUUUUUCUUAGUUUAUACUGUAACUGAAACUACUCAGUUAUGGACGUAUAUGUUGGCCGUUUCUGUGGUGAAAGUCACGCAUGGGCGGAGUUACUAAUUACUAUUACCAAAUGAGUUCUCGUAAAUAAAUUUCUUUCUCCUUAGUUAGUCAAAAUUUAAUUUACAGUUGGGCCUGUUUCAUAUACGUGAACCAUCCCCUUAUUAUUUACGAGAACUCAUUUGGUUCUCAUGCGUGACUUUCCCCACAGAAACGGCCACAUUAUACAUAUGUCCUGUCCAUAACUGAGUAAUUUCAGUUACGGUAUAAAUUAAGAAAAAUUCAAAAAUAGAGUUCAAGAAAAAGACAUGAAAAACAGGCAUAUACCCGGUUGAAAUAACAAAACAAAUUAUACAUCAAUAAUCUUAAAGUUAAACACAUAUAUUGGGUGAUGCAGUCUUCUCAAAUACACUAUAUCUUGUUCAUGCAAAUGUGUAUCACAAUACGCGUGUCUCUACAAGCGUUAACGACCAAAAUCAUCUUAAAAGUUUCGUGGAAUGAAAAAGGAACCAGAGAAUGAACUCAAAAUGAUAUUUGUUAUAUACUCUGUUUAUCAGAUUCUAUGUAUCGGUUUAAUAAGCAAAAUCUUUUAACUAGUUUGUAUUGUAUAUGAGGUCUCAAACCCCUUACAGAUGGAUUAUACAUAUUGUGUAAUCCCUUCUUCUCAAUCAAAGUCAUGAAUAAUUAAGAACUUUGGUGAA